GAGUGUUAAAGAGCUUAGUAUUGAGUCAAUCUAUUUUAAAAAGCCAUCAAGUUUUUACCAAGUAUCUGGCGUUACUCUAACAGUUGUGUUGGCUCAUGUAAUCAUCACUGUUUUAUCCUUUCCUGACUUUAUUUUUAAAUAAAGUUACAGGAACAUUGUAUAAAAAAUGCAAGAUACAGGAGAGUAUAUAAAAAUCAGAAUUUUUUAUUUAAUCGUACACAUUUGUGACAGCUUUUUGUCACCAUGGGAGACAUGGUUUCUUUCAUGUACUGUACAGGGCUGUGAUUCUAAAAAUCUACAUUAGUAUGAUGUGUUCAGGUGAAAAACAGAAAAUUCAGUCAUUCAGAGUUUAGAAAUCCAGUCAAGGAUUUUAUUGGCUGGAGUAAUAGUUCAAAGGAGUAACAAUUCAAGCAUGUAAUUUUUGGAUUUGAUUUCCCCCAUAAUGGCUUUUUAUCAAGCAUGGUCUAAUUUUUUAGAAAAUGGCCAUUAUCUCCAAGCUUCCAUUAUCUAUGUAGUUUCAGUGGCAGGAGAGAGACCAUUUUCCUCCCAGUGUCCAUGACAAUUCCUCCGAAGGACUGAACAGCCAUGUUGGUCCUGGAGCAAGCCCUAAACCAAUCUGUAUUUCCAGGGAAAUGGGGUCCUUUGACUCCCAGCAUGGGAAGCAAGAGAGGCAGAUGAUAUGGUCACCUCUGUGAGGAUUACAUCAGGAAGGACAGUUUCCAAAACACAUGGACAGAGAAAAUGUAGCAGAUGUCCAUUAAAUCAGGAUCUCAUACAAGUUACAACACCUGAAUGUCUGACUUUUCAGAGUAUUGGCCUCUUGCCCGUGGAGAUAUCUACAGUAUUCUGCUGUAGAAUGCCGUGGUCUUUCUGAGGGUCACGUACAUCCUGUCUUGUUAUAAUGUUAAACAUUGAGUCCUCAGGCAUGUCAGGGGUAUGGAAUUGAAAGGAAGAAGGAACUGUUGCUAGCACUUAACUGACCAAGCUAGUUCUCUGACCCAAUGUAAAGGUGACUGUGACACACAUGGAUAAUUUUAUCCUGAUGUUUUAAGAUUUUGUUAUUUGGAUAGGAAACAUUCCAAAUGCAGUUUGAAACAUACUAACAUUGAAGCACAUAGAAAAGAACUGGCUCAAGUUUAGUCCCCAAGUUCCUUAUAGUAGGAAUAGGAAUCCUUAGAGUAUAAGCAAUCCAUGCAUAGUAUUCUGUUAUCUAUCAUAUGGAUCAUUUAAUCUCUAAUUUUUUGGGGUGGGGAUUCUCUUGUUUCUAAAUCUUACACUUUUUCUUUCCCUUUCAGUUUCUUCUGUGUCUUAAAUAUAGAUUGACUAUUUUCUUAAAUACUAAUCAAUAUAUUAAAUACUAAUAAAUACUAUUGACUGUCAAACAUAGACUAUUGACUAUUAAAUAUUUUCACUUGUAACCUUCAUACUAGAGAUUUGAAAGAUAGUAAAGGCCGGGCGCGGUGGCUCAAGCCUGUAAUCCCAGCACUUUGGGAGGCCGAGACGGGCGGAUCACAAGGUCAGGAGAUCGAUACCAUCCUGGCUAACACGGUGAAACCCCGUCUCUACUAAAAAAUACAAAAACUAGCCAGGGCGGUGGCGAGCCUGUAGUCCCAGCUACUCGGGAGGCUGAGGCAGGAGAAUGGCGUGAACACGGGAGGCGGAGCUUGCAGUGAGCUGAGAUCCAGCCACUGCACUCCAGCCUGGGCGACAGAGCCAGACUCCGUCUCAAAAAAAAAAAAAA
rnacentral:lncRNA from 1 species